AAAAUAAAUAGAUCUCUAUAUAAAUAUAUUAAUUAUGUAAGAACAACAACUCUGGAAAGUCCAGAAGAGAUUAAUAUGAGUGGAUGAGAGUUAAUUUCAUGGGAUUCUUUGUUCAUUAGUCAAGAUUAUUUAAUAUUAUAGAAAAUUUAGUUUGGUAAGAACUAAAAAGAGAAGAAGAGAAAACUGGCCACUGAACGUGGAUCUUUAUUAUUCGGAAACAGAAAAUAUUCAUCAAAUACUCGUCCUAAAGGAAAGGCUCAAAAAUUGACUAUAAAAUGGACACAUGGCAUUUUCUUUAUUUGCAUUCUCAAAUAAAUAUAUAGGAAAUCUAUGUAGUAAACGAGAAUCUAAAGUUUGAUAAGAACGUAACAAAGAAUUUCGUACCAAAUCUGUAAUUAAAUUUUAUUUUAUAAGCUCAGUCAAAAAUCUAAUAUGCACGUGAAUUAAUUUCAUGAUAAUUCAAAAUGUGGCAGCAUUACAAGUAGCGAAUUGUGACAUACGACAAUUUAUUAAGAAUCUGACAUUUGUUAUUUUUUCUUUUCAAAUGCUGAUCAUAGUAGAUAGAUAUACUGGGCCUCAGUAUCGUCGGCCUUGCAAACCUCUCUCUUCUUUCAGAGAGAAGACUCCCGUUAGUCGGGCUUUCGGUCUCUGGGAAACGGUGGCUACCCUAGCAUCAGUUUCACCGGCUUUUGACUCCGGGAAGCGGUGGCUCCCAUCGCACCGUCUUCGCCGGCUUGGGGUUCCGGUGGUACACCUUCCUUUUGGUGUUACCGUUGAUUUCCUCUCCGGUUUAAUCCGGAUUUUUUUUUAGUGUCUCUCAGCUUAAUCUUAGCUUCUCUGGUUUUUUUUAUUCAAUUGUGGCUCGAUCUAAACUUCCGAUUGGUCUUUCCUUCCCUUAGUAUGGGUGGUUUCACCUUCGCGCUUAUAAGUAUCUUCAAAAAUGUUUGGGUUUAUUGUGCAGGAGUAUUGGAAGCUUUAGAUCGUUGCUUGCAAUUGAUUUCUCAAGUUGAAGCAAAGAUCCGUCGGUUUAUAGUAGUAUGGGAUAGAUCUUCUUAUCUAGCUUCACUGUUAUGAGUAGCUCUUUGAUCUUUUCCAUUUUGGCUAUUCCGACUGAUAGUUGCCGGUGGUUGAUGAAAUUUGAUCCCGGCGAUAAUCUCGGACUCUCCGGCGUUUUAAUGGAGGAAGGAUGAUAAUCCACGUGCCGUCACGUGUCUUCUCUGGCCUUGGCUUUCACACACGUGUUCGGUGAUGGAUCCCUUGAUGGUCUUUCUUCCUAUUUAGGUUUGCCCAUCUUUGGACCUGAUGUAAUUAUCUGUUUAAGCUUUUAUGCCUCUUUGUAUAAUAUUUGCCAAAAUUAAUAAAAUUUGAGUGAUAAAAAAAACAAGAA